AUUGAACGCUGGCGGCAUGCCUUACACAUGCAAGUCGAACGGCAGCGCGGGAGCAAUCCUGGCGGCGAGUGGCGAACGGGUGAGUAAUAUAUCGGAACGUGCCCUGUAGCGGGGGAUAACCUAUCGAAAGAUGGACUAAUACCGCAUACGCUCUACGGAGGAAAGCGGGGGUCGCAAGACCUCGCACUAUAGGAGCGGCCGAUAUCGGAUUAGCUAGUUGGCGGGGUAAAAGCCCACCAAGGCGACGAUCCGUAGCUGGUCUGAGAGGAU
rnacentral:rRNA from 1 species